CCUGAUGGCACCAGGGACGGUAUAAAAGCAGAACAGGACACAGUUCUUGCCUCCAGAAGUUUCUAAGUCCAAUGAGACACGCAAUGCUGUAAAAGGAGACAGAACACAAAGAGUCAACAGUGUCAGAGAAAGUCCCUCACAAGUGGGACAUUCAGUGCUACAAAAGAGAUUAUGUGUCUGAACUCACUU